rnacentral:rRNA from 1 species
UACGGAGGGGGCAAGCGUUGUUCGGAAUUACUGGGCGUAAAGGGCGCGUAGGCGGCCUUCUAAGUCGGACGUGAAAUCCCUCGGCUUAACCGAGGAACUGCGUCCGAGACUGAAAGGCUUGAAUCCGGGAGAGGGAUGUGGAAUUCCAGGUGUAGCGGUGAAAUGCGUAGAUAUCUGGAGGAACACCGGUGGCGAAGGCGGCAUCCUGGACCGGCAUUGACGCUGAGGCGCGAAAGCUAGGGGAGCAAACGGG